rnacentral:rRNA from 1 species
GUACCAUAACCGACACAGGUGGGUAGGUAGAGUAUACUAAGGGGCGCGAGAUAACUCUCUCUAAGGAACUCGGCAAAAUGACUCCGUAACUUCGGGAGAAGGAGUGCCUUAUUUAUAAGGUUGCAAUAACAAGAUCCAAGCAACUGUUUAUCAAAACACAGGUCUCCGCUAAGUCGUAAGACGAUGUAUGGGGGCUGACGCCUGCCCAGUGCCAGAAGGUUAAAGAAGUUGGUUAGUGUAUGCGAAGCUGAUGACUGAAGCCCUGGUGAACGGCGGCCGUAACUAUAACGGUCCUAAGGUAGCGAAAUUCCUUGUCGGGUAAGUUCCGACCCGCACGAAAGGCGUAAUGAUUUGGAUACUGUCUCGGAGAGAGGCUCGGUGAAAUAGACUUGUCUGUGAAGAUGCGGACUACCUGCACCAGGACAGAAAGACCCUAUGAAGCUUUACUGUAACUUGAAAUUGGAAUUGGACUUUGCUUGCGCAGUAUAGGUGGGAAGCGUUGAAGAUAUUCUUGCGGGAGUAUUGGAGCUAUCAGUGAGAUACCACUCUUGUAAUGUUAGAUUUCUAACUUUGAACCAUAAUCUGGUCAAAGAACAGUUUCAGGUGGGCAGUUUGACUGGGGCGGUCGCCUCCCAAAUGGUAACGGAGGCGUACAAAGGUUUCCUCUGAACGGAUAGAAAUCGUAUCUAGAGUGUAAAGGCAUAAGGAAGCUUGACUGUGAGACCUACAAGUCGAGCAGGGACGAAAGUCGGUCUUAGUGAUCUGACGGUACUGAGCGGAAAGGCCGUCACUCAACGGAUAAAAGUUACUCUAGGAUAACAGGCUGAUCUCCCCCAAGAGUUCACAUCGACGGGGAGGUUUGGCACCUCGAUGUCGGCUCAUCGCAUCCUGGGGCGGUAGUACGUCCCAAGGGUUGGGCUGUUCGCCCAUGAAAGCGGUACGCGAGCUGGGUUCAGAACGUCGUGAGACAGUUCGGUCCAUAUCCGGUGUAGGCGUUAGAAUAUUGAGAGGAGCCUUCUUUAGUACGAGAGGACCGAGAAGGACACACCGCUGGUGUACCAGUUAUCGUGCCAACGGUAAACGCUGGGUAGCUAUGUGUGGAGUGGAUAACCGCUGAAAGCAUCUAAGUGGGAAGCCCACCUCAAGAUGAGUAUUCUCAUCACUAUAAGUGAGUAAGGUCACGGUAAGACUAACCGUUUGAUAGGCAUUAAGUGUAAAUGUAGUAAUGCAUGUGCUGAGAUGUCCUAACAGACCGAGGACUUG